rnacentral:lncRNA from 1 species
CUAGGAUCACUCAACUUUUGAACCACGAAUUUAUAUUUAUCCUGAAAAUUUUUGUUUAUCAGCAUAGAUCUGUUUGUGUUUAUUAUUCGCAGUUUGUGUUUAUUAUUUGCAGUUUCUAUUUAUCGACCCCAGAGCGGUCUGCUGUCCUUUCUUGCCCGCAAACUGCUAUUAUCUAUUGUUAUCUCCUCAUCAUGAAUAAAGGCACCUUCAUGAC